UCCGCCAUCGUCGACUGUCGCAUCGGGUUGGGAGGAGCACCGUCGGGGGCUCAUCGAGAAAGAAGAAAAAGAAAGAAGAAAAGGGGAAGAAGAAAGAAGAAAAAAAGAAAAAGAAAAAGAAAAAAGAAAAUAACUUUUUUAAUCGGGCCGACCUGACCAGACCCAGCCGACCCGAGAACCUGACCCGCAACAGCCAGCAGCCUAUCAGCGCCCAGGUCCAGAGAGCAGCCCAGAAAAAAAAGAAAAAAAAAAGCAAAACAGAAAAAAAAAG
rnacentral:lncRNA from 1 species